CAAGCUAAUAAGGGCUAAUGGU
rnacentral:rRNA from 2 species